UCAAUAAGCGGAGGAAAAGAAACUAACAAGGAUUCCCCUAGUAACGGCGAGUGAAGCGGGAAGAGCUCAAAUUUGUAAUCUGGCGGCCCCAGGUCGUCCGAGUUGUAGUCUGGAGAAGCGUUUUCCGUGCCGGACCGUGUACAAGUCCCUUGGAACGGGGCGUCGUAGAGGGUGAGAAUCCCGUCCAUGACACGGACCGCCGGUGCAUUGUGAUGCGCUCUCGAAGAGUCGAGUUGUUUGGGAAUGCAGCUCAAAACGGGUGGUAAAUUCCAUCUAAAGCUAAAUAUGGGCGAAAGACCGAUAGCGAACAAGUACCGUGAGGGAAAGAUGAAAAGCACUUUGGAAAGAGAGUUAAACAGUACGUGAAAUUGUUGAAAGGGAAACGCUCGACGUCAGUCGCGUCUUCCGAGACUCAGCCGGGCCCAGCCCGGUGCACUUCUCGGUACGACGGGCCAGCAUCGAUUUCGACCGUCGGAGAAGGGUGGAGGGAACGUGGCACCUUCGGGUGUGUUAUAGCCCUCCGUCGUAUGCGACGGUGGGGAUCGAGGACCGCAGCACGCCCUUAGCGGGGCCGGGGUUCGCCCACGUAACGUGCUUAGGAUGCUGGCGUAAUGGCUUUGA
rnacentral:rRNA from 1 species